AGGGCCUGCUCAGUGAGUUUACAUGUUAGAGGGAGUGGGGUAUAGUGACACAGUAACAGAGGGAUUGAGGGCCCUGCUCAGUGAGUUUACAUGUUAGAGGGAGUGGGGUAUAGUGACACAGUAACAGAGGGAUUGUGGGCCCUGCUCAGUGAGUUUACAUGUUAGAGGGAGUGGGGUAUAGUGACACAGUAACAGAGGGAUUGAGGGCCCUGCUCAGUGAGUUUACAUGUUAGAGGGAGUGGGGUAUAGUGACACAGUAACAGAGGGAUGAGGGCCUGCUCAGUGAGUUUACAUGUUAGAGGGAGUGGGGUAUAGUGACACAGUAACAGAGGGAUUGAGGGCCCUGCUCAGUGAGUUUACAUGUUAGAGGGAGUGGGGUAUAGUGACACAGUAACAGAGGGAUUGUGGGCCCUGCUCAGUGAGUUUACAUGUUAGAGGGAGUGGGGUAUAGUGACACAGUAACAGAGGGAUUGAGGACCUGCUCAGUGAGUUUACAUGUUAGAGGGAGUGGGGUAUAGUGACACAGUAACAGAGGGAUUGAGGGCCCUGCUCAGUGAGUUUACAUGUUAGAGGGAG